UACCUACGGGACGCAGCAGUGGGGAAUAUUGCACAAUGGGGGAAACCCUGAUGCAGCGACGCCGCGUGAGUGAAGAAGUAUCUCGGUAUGUAAAGCUCUAUCAGCAGGAAAGAUAAUGACGGUACCUGACUAAGAAGCCCCGGCUAACUACGUGCCAGCAGCCGCGGUAAUACGUAGGGGGCAAGCGUUAUCCGGAUUUACUGGGUGUAAAGGGAGUGUAGGCGGGAAAGCAA
rnacentral:rRNA from 1 species